rnacentral:rRNA from 1 species
AACUUUCAGCAAUGGAUCUCUUGGUUCCGGCAUCGAUGAAGAACGCAGCGAAAUGCGAUAACUAAUGUGAAUUGCAGAAUUCAGUGAAUCAUCGAGUCUUUGAACGCACAUUGCGCCCCCUGGUAUUCCGGGGGGCAUGCCUGUCCGAGCGUCAUU